AUACGUAGGUGACAAGCGUUAUCCGGAUUUACUGGGCGUAAAGGGCGUGUAGGCGGUCUUGCAAGUCAGAUGUGAAAUUCCUGAGCUCAACUCGGGCGCUGCUUCUGAAACUGCAGGACUUGAGUGCUGGAGGGGAUAGCGGAAUUCCUAGUGGAGCGGUAAAAUGCGCAGAUAUUAGGAAGAACACCGGUGGCGAAGGCGGCUAUCUGGACAGUAACUGACGCUGAGGCGCGAAAGCGUGGGGAGGGAACAGGAUUAGAUCCCCUGGUAGUCCACGCCGUAAACGAUGAAUACUAGGUGUAGGGGGUAUCGACUCCCUCUGUGCCGCAGUUAACACAAUAAGUAUUCCGCCUGGGGAGUACGGCCGCAAGGUUGAAACUCAAAUGAAUUGACGGGG
rnacentral:rRNA from 1 species